rnacentral:lncRNA from 1 species
UGCACAUGUUUGAAGGCCAAAUUAUAUAAACUGUAAACCAGCUUUUAAAUUGUACAAUGACAUGUUUGCCCUCAGUUUACAAGAAAAAAUAGAAAAGUGGCGGUGGCACUGUGUAAUUCUCUUGAAGUUUACAAGGAUAAUACGUCAUUUGUAAUCCAUAAUCUCAUUUUAGCUGGGGUAGGGGAGAUUAUGAGAUUAUAAUAAUCUGGUCAUCUAGUUUAUAAAAUCUACAAUAUAAACUGUUCUGUUUGGAAAUACAAUAGAUUAUAAAAAUUAGAUUAUAAUAAUGUCCAUCCAUCGACGUGCUUCUAGUCGGCGUACGUUUAUCCAUGGUCACCGGCCGGCCAAGUUUCUUUGACCGCAGCAAUCGAUUAACGGAUGAACCGGCCGGUCAAGAUUCCAUGUACACUAAGUCGCCAAGAUACAACCGUAUUUUUUUUGCGAACGAAAAACUUUCAUUAAUUAAAUGGGAUAAAAAAUUCCUCAUUAAAAAUAGUAUGAAUUUCUACCGGCGUACAACGAAGCCAUACUGCGGUUCGCUGAUCUACAUGACCCAUACAUGCAAGAGCGUCCGCGGCUUUAUUCCUGCUCUUAACCACAUGCGAUAUCGCCAAGAUACAACCGUAUUUGUUCCUAAUGCCUUCCAAAUCUAAUAUUUUUCUCACAGUUCACAUGUGUUUUGUUGCACAACACAUUUCACAUAUUCCCUCUACACGGCUUCCACAAAAUAAAAAUGAGGGGAAUUUUUUUUUAGUACUAUCCAU